ACUACUUUGUAUGAUGCUAUUUGAGAUUUAUCUGAUAAUUUCACAAUUUUAUUGAAAUAGGUUGCUUGUUUGUUUUUCGUAAUUAAAAAUUUAUCAAAAUAAUCUCUACCUUUUGAAGUAAGAUUUUCAUGCUUAGUUGUGCAAAGUUGCUAAUUCUAUAGAUUAUCAAAGAUCAACAAUAAUACUUAUAAUUAGACCUAACGGUUAAAUGACUCUGCAAACAUGGUGCCCGAACAGGGACCCCGGUUGCCCCCUUCCUAUAGCCGUAUAGCUCCACGAGGUUUUGAUUUUCCUUCUAAUUGUACUAAUUAUUCUUUUUCAAGAAUGAAAAGAUGUCGAGAGUGUCAUUGCCAUCCAGGUCAUGUUUUGGAUGCUGCAGUUUAUGAUCUGGAGCAGGAAGAAGUACCCACGGAUGCUGUGGGAACCCCAGAAUACAUCAAAGAUGAGGCUCUUCUGUAAAGUUGGAAGACUAUAUUGCUUCCUGACAGUGCAAAAUGUUGUGUUUUGGUGUUUGGUGUACGAAGAGUGGCCAAGUCUGUGGGUUUCUCUCCCCCAGCCUUGACCUUGUAGAGGUAGGUAGUGUAAGGAAUUGAAAUUUGGAACUUACCAAUGUGGGGAGAUGCCAUCGGAGUGGAUGGCUGUGGUGGAGGAUGAGUUUCGCCGUCUUAUUUGCAUAAGAUCAAAUGAAGAAAGUUUGUUUUGCAGUAUCGGUUUUGAAGUUUUAGUAAUGUUUAUAAAAAAAGAGAAAAAAGAAAAGUAUUCAUUUAAUAAUUUGUUUGUUGGAACUUUUGUAAUUCUAGUAACUGUUGGGAAGUUAUGUAAAUUAGUAUUUUUUAAAAGUAUAGCCCGGGAGGUGGAGUCGUUGUCUUGCCUCGUUUGUUGUAGUGCGCUGGUGUGUACGAUUGUCAGAGGAUUUUGUGACGGCUGUCUGUGGUAGUACUUUGGUUUGCAAGAAGCAAGUGUUGUUUAAAGAUUGCUUAUUUGUCAUUACUGUUUAUUCAAGGUGAGAUUUGCUGUUAAUUUGUAAGUUUUUUCAUUAUUACUUAAUAAAAUUUGCUUAGUUUGUUUCCUAAUAGAAGUUUAUUUCCCCAUGGAGCAUUGGUCGGAACGAGUAUUACAGUGGUUUGAAGUCAAUGAAAUAGAUAUACACAUUAAAAUCAGUGUGAAACAAAAGGAAGGGUUCCAACACAGGGUUGUAUUUAUGGCGGAUUCUCGGCCUAAGGCCGGGGUUCAUCACAGUUUUAAAAUGUCAUUUCAUCUUUGCAGGAACCAUUGCACUGUUAGCAAGUUUAAAUCCACGUACACAACACAGUGAUGUUGGACAAUCUUUAUCCCUUAUCCAUGUAAACUGUAAUUCAUAUGUCCUUCCAUAUACUGACAAUUAAUUUUACAUUUUUUUGAACAGAUAGACUUUUCUUUUAAAAUAGCAGCCUUU
rnacentral:lncRNA from 1 species